rnacentral:rRNA from 1 species
GAUUAACGCUGGCGGCGUGCAUAACACAUUCAAGUCGAACGGACAGUAGAAAUACUGUUAGUGGCGGACGGGUGAGUAACGCGUGAGCAAUCUACCUCCAGGUGAGGGAUAACAACCGGAAACAGUUGCUAAUACCUCAUGAAAUGGCAGUACCGCAUGGUACAACCAUCAAAGGCUUGCUGCCUGGAGAUGAGCUUGCGUCUGAUUAGAUAGUUGGUGGGGUAACGGCUCACCAAGUCGACGAUCGGUAGCCGGACUGAGAGGUUGAACGGCCACAUUGGAACUGAGAUACGGUCCAGACUCCUACGGGAGGCAGCAGUGGGGAAUAUUGGGCAAUGGGCGAAAGCCUGACCCAGCGACGCCGCGUGAACGAGAAGCCCUUCGGGGUGUAAAGUUCUGUCAGUAGGGACGAACGGAUGACGGUACCUACAGAGGAAGCACCGGCUAACUCCGUG